UACUAGGUGGCGAGGUGGCGGCUGCCGACAGAUACAACGCCAGUUUUUACGCCGCCUUCAGGUCCCGGAGCAUUUACGAAAUUGUUGCCGAGUAUGCUCAGGACAACGACUGGCGGGCAGUGGAGACCUUGAUGACCUUUCACAGCGUGGACCUGGCCCCUCACAGACUUGCCAUCUUGUCCAACUUCCCCGAGACAGCUGAUCCUGGCGACUACAAAAGCCUCCUUCCGGAAAUCGGGUACG